UACGUAGGGGGCAAGCGUUGUCCGGAUUUAUUGGGCGUAAAGAGCGUGUAGGCGGCCAUACAGGUCAGCUGUGAAAACUCGAGGCUCAACCUCGAGACGUCGGUUGAAACCGUAUGGCUAGAGUCCGGAAGAGGAGAGUGGAAUUCCGAGUGUAGAGGUGAAAUUCGUAGAUAUUCGGAGGAACACCAGUGGCGAAGGCGGCUCACUGGUCCAUUACUGACGCUGAGGUGCGAAAGCGUGGGGAGCAAACAGG
rnacentral:rRNA from 1 species